UACGAAGGGGGCUAGCGUUGCUCGGAAUUACUGGGCGUAAAGCGCACGUAGGCGGCUUUCUAAGUCGGGGGUGAAAUCCUGGAGCUCAACCCCAGAACUGCCUUCGAUACUGGAAAGCUCGAGUCCGGGAGAGGUGAGUGGAACUGCGAGUGUAGAGGUGAAAUUCGUAGAUAUUCGCAAGAACACCAGUGGCGAAGGCGGCUCACUGGCCCGAUACUGACGCUGAGGUGCGAAAGCGUGGGGAGCAAACAGG
rnacentral:rRNA from 1 species